rnacentral:lncRNA from 1 species
AGAUCUUCGGGAAAGACAUCUAAAUAUUCAUUAACCACCAGGAAUGAUUCGAGACUAGGAGAUUUGGAAAUUAAAUCUUUAAUAUGUACGGGAUGAUACACAUACCCCUUAGAAAUCAUUUUUCUUGCUCGAAGGUAGGAAACAAGAUGACCCCUGAACGCUGAUGCACUACCCUUCAACUCUAGGAUGGGCUCAUUCGGGAACUGAAACUAAACUAUCCUAU